GAUGAACGCUGGCGGCGUGCCUAAUACAUGCGAGUCGAGCGAACAGACGAGGAGCUUGCUCCUCUGACGUUAGCGGCGGACGGGUGAGUAACACGUGGAUAACCUACCUAUAAGACUGGGAUAACUUCGGGAAACCGGAGCUAAUACCGGAUAAUAUAUUGAACCGCAUGGUUCAAUAGUGAAAGACGGUUUUGCUGUCACUUAUAGAUGGAUCCGCGCCGCAUUAGCUAGUUGGUAAGGUAACGGCUUAUCAAGGCAACGAUGCGUAGCCGACCUGAGAGGGUGAUCGGCCACACUGGAACUGAGACACGGUCCAGACUCCUACGGGAGGCAGCAGUAGGGAAUCUUCCGCAAUGGGCGAAAGCCUGACGGAGCAACGCCGCGUGAGUGAUGAAGGUCUUCGGAUCGUAAAACUCUGUUAUUAGGGAAGAACAAAUGUGUAAGUAACUAUGCACGUCUUGACGGUACCUAAUCAGAAAGCCACGGCUAACUACGUG
rnacentral:rRNA from 1 species